GCUUUGGUAGCUCAGUUGGUUAAAAGCGAUUGGACAGGUGUUCCAAAAGGUCGCAAGUUCGAGUCUUGCCCAAAGCA